rnacentral:rRNA from 1 species
GCUAUCAAAGAUUUUAUCGCUGAUAGAUGGGCUCGCGUCCGAUUAGAUAGUUGGUGGGGUAACGGCCUACCAAGUCGACGAUCGGUAGCCGGACUGAGAGGUCGAACGGCCACAUUGGGACUGAGACACGGCCCAGACUCCUACGGGAGGCAGCAGUGGGGGAUAUUGCACAAUGGGGGAAACCCUGAUGCAGCGACGCCGCGUGAGGGAAGACGGUCCUCUGGAUUGUAAACCUCUGUCUUCGGGGACGAAACGAGACGGUACCCGAGGAGGAAGCCACGGCUAACUACGUGCCAGCAGCCGCGGUAAUACGUAGGUGGCAAGCGUUGUCCGGAAUUACUGGGUGUAAAGGGAGCGUAGGCGGGCAGGCAAGUCAGGCGUGAAAUAUAUCGGCUCAACCGGUAACGGCGCUUGAAACUGCAGGUCUUGAGUGAAGUAGAGGUUGGCGGAAUUCCUAGUGUAGCGGUGAAAUGCGUAGAUAUUAGGAGGAACACCAGUGGCGAAGGCGGCCAACUGGGCUUUUACUGACGCUGAGGCUCGAAAGUGUGGGGAGCAAACAGGAUUAGAUACCCUGGUAGUCCACACCGUAAACGAUGAUUACUAGGUGUGGGGGGACUGACCCCUUCCGUGCCGGAGUUAACACAAUAAGUAAUCCACCUGGGGAGUAC